UAUUCAUGAUGUGGGCAUUGAUUUAACAAAUCUUUAAACCUUUCCUAGACUUGAUAGAAAGUCUCAUGGUCUUUCUGGUUGAAGGUAAAGAUUUUUAUUUUAAGGCU